CGCUGAUCGCCGCCGGGGGAAUGACGGCGAUCGGGUAAGUAACUAGGACCGUUAGGACAGUUCAGGACCGUCAUCUGUCUGCAAUGGGAAAAUGCCGAUGACGGUCCUGAACUGGUCCUUAAGGGGUUAAUGUGGCAGCUGGCUAGCAAGCGAUAGCAAGCGAUAAUCAUUGCACCACUGAGAAUUAUUUAAGUAUUUGUUUGCUGGCUGCUAGUGUGAGUCUGAGGGAGAGUGUGUGUUGGAGUGAAUUACAAAGUGACUGAUGCACAGAGAUACACAAUGACGUACAGAAACACACACAUUGACAGAUACAGAUACAAAAUCACUGUGUGUGUGUGUGUCUGGCAGUGUGUAUUGUUACCUGUGUGUGUAUGCCUGGCAUUGUUUAACUAUGUAUGUGCAAUGAGUAUCCUUGUGCAUGUGUGAGUUUAUAUCUGUGUUUAUGUGUAUCUGUGUCUGGAAUGCAUAUGUGUGUCUGUGUUUGUCUGUGUAUUUCUGUGGGCAUGUGUAUCUGUGUCUGGGAGCAUAUGUGCUGGGACCGCUUGUUGGUAAGCAGGUCGGGUACUCUUGUGGGUUCCGUGCUCGAGUUUGAGGUUGCGUGUAUUGUCCCGUCGGGAGGCUACGCUGGGGCCACCCGGGGGGUUCCACCACAGGCAACGGCGGGUCACCGGGUGGAUCCACGCCGCCGCCGCUUUCACCGCCAGUCUGAAGGGUCGUCUCCAGCUCCCAAACUUCUCCCACAGGUAUGAACAGAGCCUGUUGAAGAGCUCCGUUAUGUGCUUGGGUGGCUUGAGAGGCGAGUGCUUCUUCCUGCGAUGUAUCUGCGCCGCCAUCUUAGCUGGGCCCUGUUGUCCCUGUUUGGGCGCGAGUUUGUCGCUUGGGCUUAAAGGGGAGCUGUGGUCGGUGCGCUGGUGCCGUGAUAACCCCCAACGGCGGAGGGGGGGAAGCAGGAGCCCCGUCUGCCUCUUUGUGCUCCAGCAGUGCAGGUAGCAGGGAGACCGGCCGUAUCUCCCCAGCCUCUCCCGCAAGCAGGCCCCAAAGAAGCUCUGGGUUUUGACCGCCGGUCUAGUGGUGAGAUGCCAUAAGAAGUGUCUCCUGUGGUCGUAUUGUAAUUCCAGCCGGGUCGGAGCUUAAUUUCUUGGGUAGAAAGUCGUUAUUUUUAUUCGUUUGUUUUUUCUUUUCAGGAGCUCACUUCAUGUGCGACUUGUCUGCAUGGCGGUCAGGCCCCGCCCCCCUCUGUUAUUAUUUUAAUUACCCACCUUCCCUCCUCCUCCUUUCCCUCCCUCCAUUCCACAGCCCCUCCCCUUGCCGGCUCAGAGAGCACGCAUACACCCUGAACCGGUAAAAGGGUCUGAUCAAAAACUUCUCUAUAAGACGCCUUUGACUGGACUUCGAUGAGGCUCCCAUGAAGUCACAUGAGGGUUCGUCGAGCAGCACUGGGGAGCUUUGCUUGGCACAGGAUUAAGGUAAGUAAACUCUAGUUUAAAACACUCUUUUCAAUGCCAAUAGAGCAUUAUUCUAUUAACUAUUAAAAAGGGUUGAAGAGACCCUUUAAAAUGAUGCCAUUCAAUUACUUGUUCAAAUAUAUAUUUUGCAAGACAGUUAAAUUUAGACUCAUGUACAAUCUCCAGCUACUGUCAAACCACAACCCCCAUGAUCAUCAACUCACAUUUGGGUAGCCAGUUAUCUGAUGUUUCAUAAUCAGGUACUUGCAACAAUACUAGAGUAUGUAAUUUAUACAGAGUGCAGAAUUUUUUUAAAUCCAGACAAUACCUCAUUAUGUAACCUUUGGUGUCUUUUAUUGAUUGGGCCAUCAAAAAGCAGUGUGAUCUGUAGGAAUGUGUGCCAUUUAGAUGGCAAGAUUUCAAAGGGAUACUAUAUUGUGUAGUGUAAUUCACAUUUUGUAAGCAAAAUUAAAGGUUGAGAAACUCUCAUUAUUUAACUAACACUUUUCUUCCACUUACUCUCCUCUAACAGUUAUUGGCAGCUCUGCUGCUGUUAUCCUUGGGGACUUUAAUAUCCCAAUAACAGCUCUGAUGUAUUUUGACUGCUUUCUGUAACCUCCUCCUUCGGCCUCAUGCAAUGGUCUAACUCAGCAAGUCACACACUUUUUUUCCCUUUUUUUAAAUUCAUUAUUUUUGCAGUGACAGCAAGGAAUAGUAUAUAACAUCAAUAUUACUAAGUACACAAUACAAACGUGUGAUGUAAAAAUGCUAUGUAGCAAAAAUCGUGGACCGGUAUCAUUAUAUAUGUGCAAAUAGUUGAAAAGGCAGCAUAGUUGUAGAAUGCACUUGUGGUGUACUUCUAUGUGUGCAAAAAAAACCCUGUCAGAGUAAUUUCCUUUUUUCUUUGUAAAAAACAAGGAAACCAAAGAAAAAUUUGAGGAUUAUAGGAGAGCAAAAGCAAGAAGGGGAACAGAGGGAGACAUAGAGGAAAAGAUUAGGAAGAGAAAGAAGAAAAGAUGUCGGUCCAGUGGAUGCCCAUCAGGCCAUUUAACAGAGGGCACAGUGGGUAGCUGGGAGGAGCUGUGAUACAGAUAUGUAAAUACACACACACAAAUAUAGAUAUAUAUAUAUAUAUAUAUAUAUUUAUAUUGGGGGGCAGAGGAUAGCAUACCCCCAGACCACAGCACCCUAUCCCCCCAUGUCAGUAGUGGACCACGAGUCCCAUAUCUUAUCAAAUGUAUUUGUCGUGCCUCUGACUUGUGCAGUCAAUUUGUCCAUUAAAAAGGUAUCUUUUAUUUUCUGUAUCACUGUCUCGAUAGAAGGUAGGUCAACCUUUAGCCAGGACUGUGCCAUAGCUCGUCUGGCGGUCAAGGUCAAUUUAUGUAAGAGUUUCUGUUCAGGUUUGGGCCAGUCAUCUAAGGACCUUAAUAGCAGGAAGACCCAGGAAACAAGCUGAACUCGUCUUUGGAAUAGCUCAGUGCUAUAAGUGCCUCUCUGGCCACCAGCAUGUCCUCCAGCAAAGAUCGUCCAGGGUCUUGUGCAUGUGAAGUUUGAUGGGUGUAGUAUACCAACGAAACAUGGUCUUGUAGGACUGCUCUUGUAGGGUAACACAUAUUAAGGUUUUGUUGUUAGCUUCACAUAUUUCCAGCCACUUAAUACCCUCUACGGUCUAACCCAAGGCUGUUUCCCACUGAUUUGUGUAAUGCAAUUGUGGCAAAUGUGCCUAUGAAACAAGCUCCCAGAGGAACCUGCUAGCUAGCCUCUUGCCCAAGGACUAUAGAAACAUCCAAAGAUGUUUCAAUUAACCAAUUAGAGUGUUGUUAUGAGUCAAAUUACACAGCGUGGGAAAAUUCCAAAGAACUUUCCCACGCUGUGUAAAAUGACUCAGAGCACUCUGAUUGGCUGGAUUUCAAGCUAACCAAUCAGAGUGCUGUGACAGGUAAAUGUAGAGACUUACCUGUCAGUUUCUUCAUUUACCUGUCACAGCACUCCGAUUGGAUGGCUUAAACCAAUCAACCAGAGUGCUCUGAGCCUAAUUGCAGGGCGGGGCAAGGCUUUAUAAGCCUUCUCCCGCCAUGCAGAGCUCAGUCUGCGCGGAGCCCUCCAUGAGUGAAGAUGGAUUAUUUUUUUUGCACUCAAGUUUUUAAAAAAAAAUUUCAAAGUGCGACAGUUAUUAUGGAUUUGUAUUUAGCCUUUUUUGGGCUGAAAAAAGAACAUUUUAAACAUCAAAUGGUAAGUUUUAUUUAUUUUUUACAGUUAUUGGCAGCUCUCCUUUCAUGAGAUCAUUAAACCAGGCCUCUAAGUGAGGCACAAGGUCCUCUCAGAAUGUUUUAUAAUACCCUCAGUCAGAGCCAUCCAGUCCAGGUGCUUUAUGUCCCCUCAGCAUUGUAAUGGCUGCUUUGAUUUCUUCCAGUCAGUUUGAGCAUUUUUAAUUUGGAGAGGAAGAAUUGAAUGGGUACAGUACCCCCCCUACAUUGGGAACAUAAACAACCUGGGUAUAUUAUUUAAAAAACUGUGUUUUCAGAACUCGUUUGCACUCCUUAUGUUCUCGUAGCCAUGUGUGAAAUGCGCAUUGAAUAUUAUACUGUACUUGACCGAUCAUUAGUUCAACUACUUUCUGGUUGUACUUUUAACUCUGUACUAUUUGUUUACUAUGAGAUAAUGACAGGCUGACAAAUAUUUAGAGAUGAUGUAGCAAUUGUUUUAGAUUACGAAUACUGGUCCCUGCCUACGACUUUAUUUCUGACUGAUUGUGCAGUGCUUCACAUGAACCUCUGUAACAGUUCUAUCAUUGCUACCCAUCUCUCUCUAUUUUUAUGCUCUCACUAUUUUGGGGAGAAAUUAUAGAGGAGCCUAAUUACAUAGGUAUGAGACAGGUAAUAAAUCUUUUCUGGUUAGAUUUGGAAAGUUAGAUAACCCUGUAGCUUACACUGCACUUUCAGUGCUACUGACUGCCUGUUUCUGUGCAUUGAUUAUUGAUUAUAUAAAAUAAACAUGUCAGCGCUAUACUGAAAAAACCCUAAAUUGUAUACUGGGUAAUCCACAUGUAGUCUAUGAAAUUGAAACAACUGUGUAUGCACUAUUGCAGUUGGUAAUAAAACAAACUUAAAAAUGAUCCGCAGUAUAUAUGUUCCAGUAUGUACUAUUUCAAAAACUGUAUAAAUACUGUAAUGUCCAAGAGUCCUUGGGUGGUAGCACAGAGGGUUAAUCUUGCCACACAGGUGGCAUCCACAGUCUUAGGAUACACUAUAUACCACAGUGAUAGUAGUACCUUAAAUGGAUGCAAAAAAGAUCCACAUAAAGUAACACUGUAUUUAUUGGCAAAAUAAAAACACUCUCUCCCCCAAAAGGAACCCCUACAUUUACAUAUGAUAGUACUUGUUUCCAAGGACCACAAAUCAAGCGUGGGUUUAUAAGAGUUGGCGAAAGCUUUACUUCCCCAUACUCCUGAUCAUACAGGUCCUGGCUGAGUCUCCUUGCUGAAGAAUGAAGUGCUUGUGUUGGAAGAAUGCCAGAGCUGGGAGUUGGUACUUAGGAUCACUGCUCGUUCACCACUCGGAAUCAAAUGCCGCUCGCGCUUCAACGCAUUUCGCCCAUGUCAACAGGCUUUCUAAAGAUGGUGCGGCAGCCACUAAGAGCGUUCAUAUAUACUGUCAUGUCUUCCACGUUCCAUUCUGUGGAUAUUUCUGGCCUUGGCUUCUGUUAUCCAGUACUCUUUUUACAAUUCUUGUUCAGUUUUUCUGUUUUUUUUUCCUAUGUCUGGUUUUCUUUAUGCUGGGUUUUCUGGGUUAAUUCCUUUAUUCCGUUCCUGAAAUUCCCAGUCUCCUGGAUUCCUUUAAAUGUUUGUUUUCUGUUGCCACAUCCGUUCCUUUGCCAUUAAUCCCUUUAGUUUCAGUUUGUUCCUGCUAGCAGUGGUCUCAUUUCCUCUGCUUCUUUCUUUGCAGGUAAGUAGUGUGUGUUAUAGUUGUUUAUUUAGUCAUGCAUAUUAGUUAGGACCCACCGUAAUUGGAGUACUUUGGUGCAGUGGUGGGCUGCAUACAUGUUGGCCAUUUAUGUAUGUCUAAAUCUCCAAUGUUUAUUAUAUAUAGUACUUAGUUAUUUCUUCUCUUGUUUUGCCUUGUAUGUCUUGUCUUGUUUUAUUUUGUCUUGUAUUCUCAGUUCAUGUACAGUCUUGUCCUGCCCUGCCCUCUCCAUGUCCUGUUCAUGUUUCCCUCAUGUAUUGUGUAAUGUACAUGUUCUGGGUUCUUCUUUCUGGCCUGCUUCGGUUCUUAGUUCUUCUAGUCUUGUCUUAUCUUGUUUGGUGCCUAUUCUAGUCUUACCUUGUUUCUAGUACUGGAUACAUAUCUGCUUUAUAUCAGCUCCUGGCAUCCACUUAAGCUGCAUCAGGACUCUGGUGUGUGGCCGCACAAACCCUGGUGCUCAACACCAGGGGGCGUGUGGUUACCCAGCACCAGACCCUGAUUGUCCAUUUGGACCAACACCUGUGACAUAUACGCUCACAUAAGUCUGUCCUUAAAGUGCCAGAUUACCUCAAGGAAAGUUUUUACUUUCAUAUUUCCAUGAAAAUGGCUCUCCCUUACAAUAUGUAUUAAAUGGGGGUUUCAAAGGCACAUAAAAAAAACUUGUAAAAGUGUGCAAGUGAUACAAAACAGUUUUCAUGGUAAUAUACAAAUAUAAAAUAGUAAGUUAGUAAAACUUGAUAAAACAGACAAAAUAUAAAAAGCUGGCUACAUCAGAGUAAAAAAGACUUGGCUAAGAAUCAAAGACGAUAAACAGACUCAAUAGACAUACAUAAAGUUUGUUUGGAGAUUAAAUAAUUCUAAUAGAAAAAAAAUAUAUAUAUAGAGAGAGAGAGAUAGAUAGAUCAUAACGACCUUAAAUCCAAAAAACAGAGCCUCUUAAUAUCUUCAAAAUAAUAUAAACUACAUAUCUGAGGUAAUAUUGAAAAAGAAUAUGUGUUUGAUAAUAUGGAAUAAUGUAAAAAAUGGGGUAUUACCUUAACGUGAAGAGAAAAAAUUCUGGAGGACCAUAUGUAGACAGCUAAAAAUAUAUAUAUAUGGUAUAUAUCGUUUAUAAGGAAUAUUAUAUGUAUAUACACUCUCAUAAAUACUAUCAUUAAUGAUAAUGGGUAUAAUUCUCAAUAGAAUUAAUAAAGUAGAAAAAAGUAAAAACGCACUACAAAUUAAAUUCGAGCUGUCAGGUAUUUUAUGAUUGAGAAGAGUGUGUUGUUUAUGUUCACGAAUUCUGGUUUUAUAUGUUAAUUUGUAGUAGGAGGAGUUUUUAUACAUUCACAGUUUUUACUUUUUUCUAUUGUAUUUAUUCUUGUGAGAAUCAUAACCAUUAUUAUUUUUAAUGAGAGUAUUUCUGAGUGGGUAUAUACAUAUAUUCCUUAUAAACGAUAUACACCAUAUAAUUUGUUUUGUAUUUGUUUUGCCAAUAAAUACAGUGUUACUCUAUGUGGAUCUUUUUUGUAUCCUUUUAAGGUACUACUAUCACUGUGGUAUACAGUGUAUCCCAAGACUGUGGAUCCUAUCUGUGUGCCAAGAUUAACCCUCUGUGUUACUACCCAAGGAGUCUACCCAAGGAGUCUUGGACAUUACAGUAUUUAUACUGUUUUUGAAAUGGUACAUACUGGAACAUAUAUGCUGCGGAUCGUUUUUAAGGUUUUUUUUAUUACCAACUGCAAUAAAGCAUAUACAGUUGUUUCUUUUUCAUAGACUACAUGUGGAUUACCCAGCAUACAAUUUAGGGUUUUCCCAGUAAAGCGCUGACACGUUUAUUAUUUUAUUUUUUAUUAUCUCUUUUUUAUUAUUUCAAGACAAUAUGAAACAACAAUGCAUGUAUCACAGCGACAUUUCACACAAAUGUUAUAAGCAUGACAAUGUGUCAGUACAUACACACAGUGGAAGCUGUUUUAAGCAUUGCCUGACGGUGAGAUUAAAUAAAAUAGCAAAAGUAACAUUUAUAAAGGUUGCAAAAUAGUAAUAAUGACAAUAACAAAAAUAAGAAAAUAAACCUCAAAACAUAAACCAAGAAGUAACCUUCUUAGCGACAUUCGUGGCUUUUGAAGUGGUUGUGUCUAGAUGCGUGGCUUUGGCAGGGUUGAGGGGAUGGGCUAGGGCUCAGUCCAUCUCUAGGGACUUGUGGUGGUGUCUGUCCUGCAAGUUGGAUGGUGUCUGGCCUAGGGCUGGGUAGGCAUCAGAUAUGUUACCCAUGUUUGCCAUAUGAGCCUAUAGGUAUUGGCUUUGCCCAGCGAGCUCUAUCUGAGUUCUUCCAUUUUUCAUGGACCACUCCCUCCCAUCCGGCCUCCGCUUAGUUUUGCAACAGGAUGUGUUUGUGGCCUUUGCUGCUGUCAGCAUGAAGUAUAUAAGAGAGAGUAUUUUAUCUUAUUCAAGUGCACGUUAACUCUAAAGAAUAGCAUAGCAUCUGCUUCUAACGGGAGGGCUUGGCCAGUUAAGGUUUUAAUUGGUCCCCUACCAAUUUCCAAAAGUCCAGGACUCAUUCACAAGUCCACCAUAUAUGAAGCAUGUCACCCUUUACUUUCUCACACCUCCAACACAAGGGGGACGAUGAUGGGUCAAAAUGGUGACUAUCAAUUGUUGUGAGAUACCCGCUCGAAGUUGACUUGUAAUCACCUCAUGCAGGGAUACACUUGAGUGUGCGUGGAAUAUAAUAUGAAAAGUGUCAGUCCACUCUCUCUCACUACUUGAAUACCCCAUCUGGUGUUUCCAUUUGCGAGUAUAGUGUGGAAGUGUUGUGUUCAUUUCAGAUUGAAUUAGUCUGUAACACUUAGAGAUAGCCUUGGACGGUGUAGUGGUUUAAGAGCACAUUUGUUCAAAUUCUGUACUGUCUCUAUUGCCGCUAACUGGGAGGCAGAGUGUCUUCAGGAAAUGUUUUAAUUGGAAGAACUGAAAUGAUUGUGCUAUGGUCGGGAGUCUUGGUGCCGUCAAGUCAUGUAUUGUCUUCAACCCCGAUUCUCCCCAUAUACUUUCUAGGGGUAUAUAUGAUAUAUUCAAAGUUAUUUUUUACCGGCCAUUGCAGGCCCUGUGAGCCAGCCGGAAAGAGCACGUUGGGAGAGAUGGGGUACCUAGUUGAGGGGAAAGGUGAAAUUCCCCCUAGUGGGAGUACCUUCCUCCAUACCUGUAAGGUGGCAGAGAUUGUAGGAUGGUUGGGGGUGGGGUAGUCCCCAGAAACAGUGAAUGUCCAGGGUAGAGCUUGUAGAGUGGUGUCAGAAAAGGAUUGUUCAAUUGGGAUCCAUAGUUUGGAUACUGGUCUUACAGACCAGUCUAUGAUCUGUGACAAAUGUAUUGCAUAGUAGUAGUGUAAUAUAUGGGCGUGUGGGGAUAUGGUAGGCUAACCUAGGUUUUUUUACCUGCCCAAAUGAAUUUUGUGAUGAAGGAUUGGAGUGUGUUAAAAAAAACUUCCCUGGUAGUCGAACAGGGAUUGUAUGUAGCAGAUAACGCAUGCGAGGAAGGAUAUUAAUUGAAAUGAUAUUGACUCUACCCAGCCACCGGAAACGGGGUUUAUUCCACAGCUUUAGGUCACAGGCAAUGUAAUUUGACACGUUUAUUUUAUAUUGUCUAUUGUAAACAUUUUUAAGGAAGUUUCAAGUAUGUUUAACUGCUUUUUUACAAUUUAUUGUAUCAUUUUUACUCUUAAUUACUAUUUUUUAUUGUGCUCUCCUAUUUCUCUUUUAUUAUUGAUUACUCACUAAACUUAAAAAUUGUAAGUUGGAUAUUUUCUUAUUAUUCACUGGUGAAUAUUAAUAAAUCAGGGAUUGGGUGCCACACGGACUACCUGGUAUAUUUACUGCAGUGUCCAUGUGGCAAACAAUACGUGGGAAAAACUAAAAGACUCCUUAAGAUCCGUCUUAUGGAGCAUAUCAACAAUAUUAGAAAAGGUUCAACAACCCAUUCUGUGCUGGUGCAUUGUAAUUCAUGCCCCUCCUUCAAUUGGAGAGAUUUUAAAGGUCUAGGUAUUGAACAAGUAUCCCCCUACUGGAGAGGUGGUGAUAGAAAUCUCAAAUUAUCCCAAAGAGAAACCUAUUGGAUCUAUCUAUUAGAUUGUUUAGAACCAAAGGGGAUGAAUGUAGAUAUAGACCUAGCCUGCUUUAUGACAUGAUACUCUUUCUCUCCUUCUACCUAUCAUUACCACAAGAGUUUCGACUGUUGGGUUUUACAUUUUAUUUUUUAUUUUGUAUUUGAGGUUGAAAUUUGCAUCUCCCCUCUAAAAGAAAUGUUUUUUUGUAUUGAUUAUGGAUUUGCACGAGUUGAGACACACAUAACGUACUGUUACACACUUAUUCUUCCAUACUUACAAAUAUUUUCACAUUUCUUAUGAUACCUGAGCUAUUUUUAGAUUUAACAGCUCUUUAUAUCGUAUAAAAUUUGGAACAACCAUUCAUUGGGUUUAUUAUCCAUCCUUUAAAUAUUUAGUUCCUUUUCCUCCCUAUCUCUAAUGAAAUGUUUGGGGUUUUUUGGGGGGGGGGUUUUUUGUUUUUUUUUGUUAUAUUAUUUAUCAAUAAAUUCACUUUCACUUCAAAGUUGAAUGUGGAAAAAAUUAUUUUUAUCCACUUAUCAUUAAUCUCUUAAUAUCAUUCUCCCAUUUGAUUGGUAUACCAUCCCCUUUUUUAAUGACUCAAUUUUUCUCCUCUUAAUUCUAUAAAUGGAGUCACUCCAACAACAUGUUUUCAUUAAUUAUUCCAUAUAAUUUACAAAUAUAGAUUCAUCAAAUUUUUUUACACAUUAGCAAUUUACUAACACCUUUUUGGUAAUUCCAAACUUAAUUGAAAACAAUUUAAUUAUAUUAAAAAAAAAGGGGUAUAUUUUUUUUAUAUCAACACAUCUUUAUGAUGAGAGAUGCAUUUCAUCCUUAAUUUUUUUUUAAAAACGAGUCUAUUUAGUAUUGCUGAUGUUUAACCCCUUAAGGACACAUGAUGGAAAUAUUCCAUCAUGAUUCCCUUUUAUUCCAGAAGUUGUGUCCUUAAGGGGUUAAAUAACUGUUUUAUUUGUGUUUAUGUUGAACUCUUAUCUUUCUUGCCUUUAAGCAUCAGAUGUUCUCUGUGGAACGCAGUUUUACACACUGUUGGAACGCAUAGACGUUCAGGACAUUCCGACCAGAACCGGAAGUGAUGUACGAAACCGGAAGUGGAGUGUGGAACGCAUACUCGGUCCAGUGGAACGCAAGUCGGAUGGAUUCACACAAAUCCUUAUCAAUCAUUGCGCCCACAUGUCCACAUCAAUAGAAAUCCCCAGGAGACCAUUCCAUCACUCUGUCCACCAAUGAAACACAG